AGCAGCCGCGGUAAUUCCAGCUCCAAUAGCGUAUAUUAAAGUUGUUGCAGUUAAAAAGCUCGUAGUUGAAUUUCGGGAUUUGUCAGUUGGUCGGGCUUCACUGUCCGUAUUGACUUGAUGGAUUCUUACCUUCUGAAUAACCAGCAUGCUAUUAAGUUAGUGCGUUGGGGAAGCAGAUCUAUUACCUUGAAAAAAUUAGAGUGCUUAAAGCGAGCUAGUGCUUGAAUAGAUUAGCAUGGAAUAAUAAAAUAGGACGGCAUGGUUCUAUUUUGUUGGUUUCUAGGAUCACCGUAAUGAUUAAUAGGGAUAGUUGGGGGCAUUAGUAUUCAAUUGUCAGAGGUGAAAUUCUUGGAUUUAUUGAAGACUAACUUCUGCGAAAGCAUUUGCCAAGGAUGUUUUCAUUAAUCAAGAACGAAAGUUAGGGGAUCGAAGACGAUCAGAUACCGUCGU
rnacentral:rRNA from 1 species